UACGUAGGGGGCAAGCGUUGUCCGGAUUUAUUGGGCGUAAAGAGCGUGUAGGCGGCCAGGUAGGUCAGCUGUGAAAACUCGAGGCUCAACCUCGAGACGCCGGUUGAAACCACCUGGCUAGAGUCCGGAAGAGGAGAGUGGAAUUCCUGGUGUAGCGGUGAAAUGCGCAGAUAUCAGGAAGAACACCCGUGGCUAAGGCGGCUCUCUAGUACGGUACUGACGCUGAGACGCGAAAGCGUGGGGAGCGAACAGG
rnacentral:rRNA from 1 species